rnacentral:rRNA from 1 species
UACGAAGGGGGCGAGCGUUGUUCGGAAUUACUGGGCGUAAAGGGCGCGCAGGCGGCUCUGAAAGUCAGAUGUGAAAGCCCCGGGCUUAACCUGGGAACUGCAUUUGAUACUCUGGAGCUUGAGUACGGGAGAGGAUAGUGGAAUUCCCAGUGUAGAGGUGAAAUUCGUAGAUACCCGGAGGAACACCAGUGGCGAAGGCGGCUUCCUGGUCUGCGACUGACGCUGUGGCGCGAAAGCUAGGGGAGCAAACGGG